rnacentral:rRNA from 1 species
GACGAACGCUGGCGGCGUGCUUAACACAUGCAAGUCGAACGGAAAGGCCCUGCUUUUGUGGGGUGCUCGAGUGGCGAACGGGUGAGUAACACGUGAGUAACCUGCCCUUGACUUUGGGAUAACUUCAGGAAACUGGGGCUAAUACCGGAUAGGAGCUCCUGCUGCAUGGUGGGGGUUGGAAAGUUUCGGCGGUUGGGGAUGGACUCGCGGCUUAUCAGCUUGUUGGUGGGGUAGUGGCUUACCAAGGCUUUGACGGGUAGCCGGCCUGAGAGGGUGACCGGCCACAUUGGGACUGAGAUACGGCCCAGACUCCUACGGGAGGCAGCAGUGGGGAAUAUUGCACAAUGGGCGAAAGCCUGAUGCAGCAACGCCGCGUGCGGGAUGACGGCCUUCGGGUUGUAAACCGCUUUCGCCUGUGACGAAGCGUGAGUGACGGUAAUGGGUAAAGAAGCACCGGCUAACUACGCG